UACGGGGGGGGCAAGCGUUGUUCGGAAUUACUGGGCGUAAAGGGCUCGUAGGCGGCCAACUAAGUCGGACGUGAAAUCCCCAGGCUCAACCUGGGAACUGCGUCCGAUACUGGGUGGCUUGAAUUCGGGAGAGGGAUGCAGAAUUCCAGGUGUAGCGGUGAAAUGCGUAGAUAUCUUCAGGAACGCCGAUGGUGAAGACGGUCGGCUGGGCCUGUCCUGACACUGAGGCACGAAAGCGUGGGGAGCAAACAGG
rnacentral:rRNA from 1 species